GAAGAGAGAAGGUUUCCUUCUAUUUUGUCUUGAAAAUCGUAGAAAGAAAAGGGGAAAAAACGAAAGAGAUUAAGAAAUUAAAUCCAAGUUUAUUCGAUUCCCAUUAACUUAGACUUUGCCUUAUCUGUUCCCGCGGAACUAGAAUCAGCUUUGCGGUUGAAGACUGUACAGUACUUUGUAACGCAAAGGCCUUGGCUUGAUCUUUAUGGAAAAAAUGUUAGACCAAUUGCUCCUUAUGGAAGCGCCAGCAGAAGAGCAUAUGUUGAUCCUGCACUUCUCUAUCGUUGCUUGCCCGAUGAGCUGCUUUUUGAGGUCUUUGUACGGAUGACUCCAUAUGAUUUAGGAAGGGCAUCAUGUGUUUGUCAAAAGUGGAGGUACUCAAUUCGUAACCCUGUAUUUUGGCGGAGUGCAUGCUUAAAGGCUUGGUAGCUCUCUGGAGUAGUGGAGAAUUAUAAGAUUUUGCAGUCAAAAGAUGAAGGUUCAUGGAGGAAAAUGUGGCUUUCAAGACCUAGGGUACGAACUGAUGGCACGAAAUACUCUCUCCCUUGCUUGUUUUUAACUUUUUGGGUGUAAUAUAUUUGUUGGGGAGGGGGUUAUCUUCUCAACAUUUGUUUAUGUUGAAACUCCCUGCUAAGUGUUAUGCUUGGUCUUGUUGAUUGCAGCAUUUGUUGCCAUUUCUUUCUUGGGAGCAUUUCUGUAAUUCUAUUCUUCUUCAAUUUUCAUAACUCCCCCAAUUACUAAACAGAUUCGUUGGUUUGGAAACUAUGCCAGGGAUCUAUAAGGAACUUGAACGGAAUUAGACAUGGUUUCUC